AGGUGGCAGGGCCAGCCACCAGGCAGGCUGCGUGCCACCCGGGCAGCUCUGCUACUCACCGGCAGUGUCACCU
ensembl:miRNA